rnacentral:rRNA from 1 species
CCUACGGGAGGCAGCAGUGGGGAAUUUUGGACAAUGGGCGCAAGCCUGAUCCAGCCAUGCCGCGUGCAGGAUGAAGGCCUUCGGGUUGUAAACUGCUUUUGUACGGAACGAAAAGCCUCCUUCUAAUAAAGGGGGGUCAUGACGGUACCGUAAGAAUAAGCACCGGCUAACUACGUGCCAGCAGCCGCGGUAAUACGUAGGGUGCAAGCGUUAAUCGGAAUUACUGGGCGUAAAGCGUGCGCAGGCGGUUAUAUAAGACAGUUGUGAAAUCCCCGGGCUCAACCUGGGAACUGCAUCUGUGACUGUAUAGCUAGAGUACGGUAGAGGGGGAUGGAAUUCCGCGUGUAGCAGUGAAAUGCGUAGAUAUGCGGAGGAACACCGAUGGCGAAGGCAAUCCCCUGGACCUGUACUGACGCUCAUGCACGAAAGCGUGGGGAGCAAACAGGAUUAGAUACCCUGGUAGUCCACGCCCUAAACGAUGUCACUGGUUGUUGGGUCUUCACUGACUCAGUAACGAAGCUACGNGNGAGUGCGCGNGGAGGUCGGCGCGAGUUAGUAGUUANAAGAGAGNGNGNGNGAGAGCGACGACGACGACGAGGAGGAGG